rnacentral:rRNA from 1 species
CCAGAGAACUUAGCAGAGAUGCUUUGGUGCCUUUCGGGAACUCUGAGACAGGUGCUGCAUGGCUGUCGUCAGCUCGUGUUGUGAAAUGUUGGGUUAAGUCCCGCAACGAGCGCAACCCUUUAUCCUUUGUUGCCAGCGGCUCGGCCGGGAACUCAAAGGAGACUGCCGGUGAUAAACCGGAGGAAGGUGGGGAUGACGUCAAGUCAUCAUGGCCCUUACGGCCAGGGCUACACACGUGCUACAAUGGCGCAUACAAAGAGAAGCGACCUCGCGAGAGCAAGCGGACCUCAUAAAGUGCGUCGUAGUCCGGAUUGGAGUCUGCAACUCGACUCCAUGAAGUCGGAAUCGCUAGUAAUCGUAGAUCAGAAUGCUACGGUGAAUACGUUCCCGGGCCUUGUACACACCGCCCGUCACACCAUGGGAGUGGGUUGCAAAAGAAGUAGGUAGCUUAACCUUCGGGAGGGCGCUUACCACUUUGUGAUUCAUGACUGGGGUGAAGUCGUAACAAGGUAGGCGUAGCGAG